rnacentral:rRNA from 1 species
GAGUAACACGUGGAUGAUAUGCCUUUUAGUGGGGAAUAACUUUGGGAAACCGAAGCUAAUACCGCAUAAUCCCGAGAGGGGAAAGCAGCAAUGCGCUGAAAGAGUAGUCCGCGGCUGAUUAGCGAGUUGGUGAGGUAAUGGCUCACCAAGGCAUUGAUCGGUAGCCGGCCUGAGAGGGCACACGGCCACACUGGCACUGAAACACGGGCCAGACUCCUACGGGAGGCAGCAGUGGGGAAUCUUGCACAAUGGACGAAAGUCUGAUGCAGCGACGCCGCGUGAGCGAUGAAGCCCUUCGGGGUGUAAAGCUCUUUCGACAGGAACGAUAAUGACGGUACCUGGAGAAGAAGCUGCGGCUAACUACGUGCCAGCAGCCGCGGUAAUACGUAGGCAGCGAGCGUUGUUCGGAAUUACUGGGCGUAAAGGGUGCGUAGGCGGUGCCAUAAGUUCGGUGUGAAAUCUCCCGGCUCAACCGGGAGGGUGCGCCGAAAACUGUGGUGCUCGAGUGUGGGAGAGGUAAGCGGAAUUCCUGGUGUAGCGGUGAAAUGCGUAGAUAUCAGGAGGAACACCGGCGGUGUAGACGGCUUACUGGACCAUAACUGACGCUGAAGCACGAAAGUGUGGGUAGCAAACAGGAUUAGAUACCCUGGUAGUCCACACCCUAAACGAUGCAUACUUGGUGUGAGCCAUUCAUUUGGUUCGUGCCGGAGCUAACGCGUUAAGUAUGCCG